AAAGAAAAAAAGGGGGAGAAUGCUGCGAAUUUGGACGAAGAGGAGAUUAGCUUCACAAUGCUUGAUUCCAUGGCGGAUGUACCCAACUGCUCUCAUUUCUACCCGAAAUAGCUCCAGCGGAAUCCUACACGACACUCUCGACCGGAACUCCGAUUCGUAUACUCGAAACUCAAAAGUCAUGGAUGAACUUGUAUCACAGCUUCAUUCUCACAUUCUCAAGGUUAUGGAAGGAGGAGGACCAGAAGCUGUGAAGAGACAUCGGAGUAGGAAUAAGCUUCUUCCCAGAGAGAGGAUCGAUCGCCUUAUUGACCCUGGCUCUUCAUUCCUUGAGCUUUGUCAGCUUGCGGGUCAUGAAUUGUACCAAGAGCCAUUACCUUCUGGUGGGAUAAUUAUUGGAAUUGGUACAAUACAUAAGAGACUCUGUAUGUUGGUGGCAAAUGAUUCUACAGUCAAAGGUGGAAGUUACUUUCCAAUAACUGUCAAGAAACAUCUCAGGGCACAAGAGAUUGCUGCUCAAUGCAAACUACCAUGUAUAUAUCUUGUUGAUAGUGGUGGUGCUUUCCUUCCGAAGCAAGCCGAGGUCUUUCCUGACAAAGAAAAUUUUGGGAGAAUAUUUUACAAUCAAGCUGUGAUGUCCUCGGAAGGUAUUCCUCAAAUCGCACUGGUGUUAGGUUCUUGUACUGCCGGAGGAGCUUACAUUCCUGCAAUGGCUGAUGAGAGUGUCAUGGUCAAAGGAAAUGGUACCAUAUUUUUGGCUGGACCUCCUCUUGUAAAGGCAGCAACUGGUGAGGAAGUUUCUGCAGAAGACCUUGGAGGUGCAACUGUGCAUUGUAAGACAUCAGGGGUUUCUGACUACUUUGCCCAUGAUGAACUGCAUGCCCUUGCUAUAGGAAGGGAUAUUGUUAAGAACCUGCACAUGGCUGGUGGUCCAGAAGUAUCUGGACAAACUAGAGCUGAUUAUAAAGAACCUCUGUAUGACGUGAAAGAACUUCGCACCGUUGCACCAACAGACCUCAAACAGCCCUUUGAUGUUAGAUCAAUUAUUGCUCGCAUUCUCGAUGGAAGUGAAUUUGAUGAAUUCAAGAAACUGUAUGGCACUACACUUGUGACUGGAUUUGGAAGAAUUUGUGGACAGCCAGUAGGGAUCCUUGGAAACAAUGGGAUACUGUUUAUGGAAUCUGCUCAGAAAGGGGCACACUUUAUUGAAUUGUGUACUCAACGUAACAUUCCUCUGAUCUUCCUUCAGAAUAUUACUGGAUUUAUGGUUGGGUCCAAAUCUGAGGCAAGUGGUAUUGCCAAAGCUGGAGCUAAAAUGGUAAUGGCAGUCUCUUGUGCGAAGGUGCCUAAGAUCACCGUAGUUAUUGGGGGAAGCUUUGGAGCUGGCAAUUAUGCAAUGUGUGGACGUGCAUAUAGUCCAAAUUUCAUGUUCUUCUGGCCAAAUGCUCGAAUAUCCGUAAUGGGAGGCCCUCAGGCUGCUGGAGUCCUUGCUCAAGUAGAGGGAAUCACCAAGAGAAAAAGGGGAAUUCAGUGGACAAAGGAAGAGGAAGAAAAGUUCAAGGCUAAAGUUGUAGAGGCGUAUGACCGAGAGGGAAGCCCAUAUUAUGCCACAUCUAGGCUUUGGGAUGACGGCAUAAUUGAUCCAGCAGACACGAGGAGAAUAUUGAGCCUUUGCAUCUCUGCUACCUUGAAUCGUGGACCAGAAGCUACAAAAUAUGGCGUGUUCAGAAUGUAACCAUUGCAAGCUCAAGCUAAAGAAAGAUGAUGCUAUGAUGCCUGAGCCCUGAGAGUUGUUGAAUUAGUCAACAGCAGAAACUCCAACUGCAAAAUCAGCUAAAGUUCUAAGUUGUCAAAGCAAAAGGUAAAUUGGUUACAUGCCAAGGACGAGAAACUCAAUAAUUUACAAAAAGAAAUAGUUGGAUUAGGUUGAGCGUGCAGUCAUAGUCCGAUGAAAUUAUGUUUUUUUUUUUAAUUAUUGUAAUUGGUUCUGGGAACUAAUAACUGUGGUUCCGUGGCUGCUUCUAAAUUACUGACUACAUCAAAAUGAG
rnacentral:misc_RNA from 1 species